AAAGCUUUAAGUUAAAUAAACUCAUAGCCUUCAAAGCUAUAAAUAUUAGAUCUAUCUUUUAAGCUUUA
rnacentral:tRNA from 1 species